UACAGAGGUCCCAAGCGUUGUUCGGAUUUACUGGGCGUAAAGGGUGCGUAGGCGGUGGGGUAAGUUUGAGGUGAAAGCUCCGGGCUCAACCCGGAAAAUGCCUUGAAAACUAUCCGGCUAGAGGGUUGGAGGGGAGACUGGAAUUCCUGGUGUAGAGGUGAAAUUCGUAGAUAUCAGGAGGAACACCAGUGGCGAAGGCGGCUUUCUGGACGGUAACUGACGCUGAGACGCGAAAGCGUGGGGAGCAAACAGG
rnacentral:rRNA from 1 species